AUAGGCUGUGCAGCCUGUUCUAGGCCGUGGGAGAGCACUAAAGAAGACUUUCAAGCCACUCCUCGAAGAGCUUCUGAUCCGUGGGGGAGAUGAAAUCUGCCUUCCUUAUUUACAUGACCCUGGAUGUCUGCCAUUUUGAAGAAUUCCAGUCCCAGAGGAGCCUAUUAAAAGAUGACAGCACACAUGGAGGAGAGUCCAGGUGUCCCAGCUGAGGCCAUUCAGACCAGCGUAGGAGUCAACUCCUAGACAUGUGAGAGAGCUCAGCCAAAAUCAGGAGAGCUGCCUACAACACCCACAGCUGAUGCACGAGUAAGGCCAGCCAAGAGUAGAAAAACUACCCAGCUGACCCAUAUA